rnacentral:rRNA from 1 species
CUAAAUACUACCCAGUGACCGAUAGCGUAUAGUACUGUGAAGGAAAGGUGAAAAGCACCCCGGGAGGGGAGUGAAAAAGAACCUGAAACCCUGUGCCUACAAGCACCUAGAGCACGUCAAUGUGUGAUAGGGUACUUUUUGUAGAACGGUCCGGCGAGCGAUUGUAUGCAGCAAGGUUAAGGACUUAAGGUCUGGAGCCGAAGCGAAAGCGAGUUUGAAAAGGGCGUUAAGUUGCAUAUAAUGGGCCCGAAACCGGGUGACCUACCCAUGGUCAGGUUGAAGUGGAAGUAAAAUUCCAUGGAGGACCGAACCGACCUCCGUUGAAAAGGCGGCGGAUGAACUGUGGGUAGCGGAGAAAUUCCAAUCGAACCCGGAGAUAGCUGGUUCUCCCCGAAAUAGUUUUAGGACUAGCCUCAAGUUAGAUACCUGGAGGUAAAGCACUGAAUAGCCUAGCGGCCGAGAGGUUAGCGAAGCUUAUCAAACUCAGAAUGCCAGAGUAUUGAUGCUUGGGAGUCAGACAGUGUCAGAUAAAUGUCAUUGUCAAAAGGGAAACAGCCCAGAUCUACAGCUAAGGUCCCAAAGUCAGGUUAAGUGGAAAACGAUGUGAAGAUACGCAGACAACCAGGAUGUUGGCUCAGAAGCAGCCACUCAUUCAAAGAGUGCGUAAUAGCUCACUGGUCGAGCGUCUUUGCGCGGAGAAUUUAACGGGGCUAAACCUGACACCGAAGCUUAGGCAAUACAGCAAUGUAUUGGGUAGGGGAGCGUUGUAUACGCGGUGAAACAGUAGCGCAAGCGGCUGUGGAGUGUAUAGAAGUGAGAAUGCCGGAAUGAGUAGCGCGAAUGCAGUGAGAAUCUGCAUGGCCGAAAGCCUCAGGUUUUUGGAGGAAGGUUCGUCCGCUCCAAGUUAGUCGGGAGCUAAGGUGAGGCCGAAAGGCGUAGCCGAUGCACAGACGGUAGAGAUUCCGUCACCACCAAAAGAGUUAAGCACAGGGACACAUUUGAAGUCUCAGAGCCGGGUGUUGGUUCCGGUAGAGAUCGAGGGAAAUUAGUACCGAAGUCUGAGAUGGAAGAUGGCGAGAAAAGCUGUGUGUAUUUCUGAGGUGCCCGUACCGCAAACCGACACAGGUAGGUAGGAAGAAGAUUCUAAGGCCAACGGGAGAAGGGUUGUUAAGGAACUCGGCAAAUUGACCCCGUAACUUCGGGAGAAGGGGUGCUCCAGAGAUGGAGCCGCAGAGAAUCGGCCCAAGCAACUGUUUACCAAAAACACAGGUUUGUGCUAAAUCGAAAGAUGACGUAUACGAGCUGACGCCUGCCCGGUGCUGGAAGGUUAAGAGGAGAUGUGCAAGCAUUGAAUCGAAGCCCCAGUGAACGGCGGCCGUAACUAUAACGGUCCUAAGGUAGCGAAAUUCCUUGUCAGGUAAG